GAUGAACGCUGGCGGCGUGCUUAACACAUGCAAGUCGAAGAUAGUGGCGAACGGGUGAGUAAUACGUGGGUAACCUGCCCUCCUUUUUGGGAUAAGCCUUGGAAACGGGGUCCAAUACAGAUUAACGGGGGCUGGGCUCGCGGCCUAUCAGCUUGUUGGUGGGGUGAUGGCCUCCCAAGGCGGUGACGGGUAGCCGGCCUGAGAGGCGGACCGGCGACAUGGGGACUGAGCAACGGCCCAGAGGCCGACGCGAGGAAGCAGUGGGUGAUAUGGCACAAUGGGUGAAAGCCUGAUGCAGCGACACCGCGUGGGGGAUGAAGGCUUUAGGGUUGUAAACCUCUUUCGCUACCGAACGGGUAGGUGGAGAAGAAGCGCCGGCUAACUACGAGCCAGCAGCCGCGGUAAUAC
rnacentral:rRNA from 1 species